rnacentral:piRNA from 1 species
UGUUUUUGGCUAACAAGCAGUGGAUGC